CUAGGGAUGUCAGUCUCAAUGGGCUUUUGUCGAAAAAUAAUUUUUUUCCAAUAUUAACAUUGACACCGCUUCCAGCGGGUGAUAUAGUCGAAAUUGUGAGGACCAUCCUCACGGAUUUGAAGAUGAAGGGAUGUAUUUACAUGCAAGGUAAAGUUAAAUGGUUCAACGCAGAAAAAGGUUACGGCUUCAUCGAAACUGCAGAAGGUAACGACGUAUUCGUUCACUUCUCCGCUAUCCAAUCCGAAGGCUUCAAGACUUUGGAAGAAGGCCAAGCUGUAGAAUUUGAUAUCGUGGAAGGCGCUCGCGGACCACAAGCUGCUAACGUAAUCAAAUUGUAAUUAUACCGGCAAUCGCCGUAUUUUAUAUGAUUUCGAUUAGCUAACCCUCAGCUUUCGCUGGGGGUUUUUAU
rnacentral:sRNA from 1 species